CCCUUAGAUGUUCUGGGCCGCACGCGCGCUACACUGAUGCAUUCAACGAGCCUAUCCUUGACCGACAGGUCCGGGUAAUCUUUGAAUCUGCAUCGUGACGGGGAUAGAUUAUUGCAAUUAUUAAUCUUCAACGAGGAAUGCCUAGUAGGCGCAAGUCAUCAGCUUGCGUUGAUUACGUCCCUGCCCUUUGUACACACCGCCCGUCGCUCCUACCGAUUGGGUGUGCUGGUGAAAUGUUCGGAUCGGCCGUUUGUCGCGGUUUCCGCGGCUCGUGGCUGAGAAGUUCAUUAAACCCUCCCACCUAGAGGAAGGAGAAGUCGUAACA
rnacentral:rRNA from 1 species